CAGUGGAGAGAUGGAUGGAUGAGGAGGCCAAGGUUGACGUUUGGUUAGGAAGAAAAAUAAACGUUUUGUUUUCGAGAUGAUAGUUUCCGGAUUCGACCAUAUUAAUGACCUACGGCUAGAGAGGGGGAAGGGAGAGGACGAGCCCACAGGCCUGUUAGUUGUCAGGAUGGACAGAGUGGAGUAGAGAGGCGGAAGGGAGAGGAUGAGCCCACAGGCCUGUUAGAUGUCAGGAUGGACAGAGUGGAGUAGAGAGGGGGAAGGGAGAGGACGAGCCCACAGGCCUGUUAGUUGUCAGGAUGGACAGAGUGGAGUAGAGAGGCGGAAGGGAGAGGAUGAGCCCACAGGCCUGUUAGAUGUCAGGAUGGACAGAGUGGAGUAGAGAGGGGGAAGGGAGAGGACGAGCCCACAGGCCUGUUAGUUGUCAGGAUGGACAGAGUGGAGUAGAGAGGCGGAAGGGAGAGGAUGAGCCCACAGGCCUGUUAGAUGUCAGGAUGGACAGAGUGGAGUAGAGAGGGGGAAGGGAGAGGACGAGCCCACAGGCCUGUUAGAUGUCAGGAUGGACAGAGUGGAGUAGAGAGGGGGAAGGGAGAGGACGAGCCCACAGGCCUGUUAUAGAUGUCAGAAUGGACAGAGUGGAGUAGAGAGGCGGAAGGGAGAGGACGAGCCCACAGGCCUGUUAGGUGUCAGAAUGGACAGAGUGGAGUAGAGAGGGGGAAGGGAGAGGACGAGCCCACAGGCCUGUUAGGUGUCAGAAUGGACAGAGUGGAGUAGAGAGGGGGAAGGGAGAGGACGAGCCCACAGGCCUGUUAGAUGUCAGGAUGGACAGAGUGGAGUAGAGAGGGGGAAGGGAGAGGACGAGCCCACAGGCCUGUUAGGUGUCAGAAUGGACAGAGUGGAGUAGAGAGGGGGAAGGGAGAGGACGAGCCCACAGGCCUGUUAGGUGUCAGGAUGGACAGAGUGGAGGAGAGAGGGGGAAGGGAGAGGACGAGCCCACAGGCCUGUUAUAGAUGUCAGAAUGGACAGAGUGGAGUAGAGAGGGGGAAGGGAGAGGACGAGCCCACAGGCCUGUUAUAGAUGUCAGAAUGGACAGAGUGGAGUAGAGAGGGGGAAGGGAGAGGACGAGCCCACAGGCCUGUUAGGUGUCAGGAUGGACAGAGUGGAGUAGAGAGGGGGAAGGGAGAGGACGAGCCCACAGGCCUGUUAGAUGUCAGGAUGGACAGAGUGGAGUAGAGAGGGGGAAGGGAGAGGACGAGCCCACAGGCCUGUUAGAUGUCAGAAUGGACAGAGUGGAGUAGAGAGGGGGAAGGGAGAGGACGAGCCCACAGGCCUGUUAGGUGUCAGGAUGGACAGAGUGGAGUAGAGAGGAGGAAGGGAGAGGACGAGCCCACAGGCCUGUUAGGUGUCAGGAUGGACAGAGUGGAGUAGAGAGGGGGAAGGGAGAGGACGAGCCCACAGGCCUGUUAGAUGUCAGAAUGGACAGAGUGGAGUAGAGAGGGGGAAGGGAGAGGACGAGCCCACAGGCCUGUAGUCGGGUGAUUAGAGAAACAGACUGUCCAGUGACUAGACUACAUAGUGAGACAGAGAGAGG